ensembl:lncRNA
GAGGCAGAUAAAAUCCAUACAGGCCAAAACACAGAAAAACUGCAUUCAUUCAUUUAUCCUCAACUCAGACAAGACCAGGAUACAGAUACGUAUUCUACCGUCUGUACGUUUUACCACGACCAGGCCACGGAUACGUUUUACUCUACUGUCUGUACGUUUUACCAGGACCAGGCCACGGAUACGUUUUAUUCUACCGUCUGUACGUUUUACCGGGACCAGGCCACGGAUACGUUUUAUUCUAUCGUCUGUACGUUUUACCGGGACCAGGCAACAGAUACGUUUUAUUCUACCGUCUGUACGUUUUACCAGGACCAGGCCACAGAUACGUUUUAUUCUACCGUCUGUACGUUUUACCAGGACCAGGCCACGGAUACGUUUUACUCUACCGUCUGUACGUUUUACCAGGACCAGGCCACAGAUACGUUUUAUUCUACCGUCUGUACGUUUUACCAGGACCAGGCCACGGAUACGUUUUAUUCUACCGUCUGUACGUUUUACCAGGACCAGGCCAUGGAUACGUUUUAUUCUACCGUCUGUACGUUUUACCACGACCAGGCCACGGAUACGUUUUACUCUACCGUCUGUACGUUUUACCACGGAUACGUUUUAUUCUACUGUCUGUACGUUUUACCAGGACCAGGCCACGGAUACGUUUUAUUCUACCGUCUGUACGUUUUACCAGGACCAGGCCACAGAUACGUUUUAUUCUACCGUCUGUACGUUUUACCAGGACCAGGCCACAGAUACGUUUUAUUCUACCGUCUGUACGUUUUACCAGGACCAGGCCACAGAUACGUUUUAUUCUACCGUCUGUACGUUUUACUAGGACCAGGCCACGGAUACGUUUUAUUCUACCGUCUGUACGUUUUACCAGGACCAGGCCACGGAUACGUUUUACUCUACCAUCUGUACGUUUUACCAGGACCAGGCCACAGAUACGUUUUAUUCUACCGUCUGUACGUUUUACCAGGACCAGGCCACAGAUACGUUUUAUUCUACCGUCUGUACGUUUUACUAGGACCAGGCCACGGAUACGUUUUAUUCUACCGUCUGUACGUUUUACCAGGACCAGGCCACGGAUACGUUUUACUCUACCAUCUGUACGUUUUACCAGGACCAGGCCACGGAUACGUUUUAUUCUACCGUCUGUACGUUUUACCAGGACCAGGCCACAGAUACGUUUUAUUCUACCGUCUGUACGUUUUACCAGGACCAGGCCACGGAUACGUUUUACUCUACCAUCUGUACGUUUUACCAGGACCAGGCCACGGAUACGUUUUAUUCUACCGUCUGUACGUUUUACCAGGACCAGGCCACGGAUACGUUUUACUCUACCAUCUGUACGUUUUACCAGGACCAGGCCACGGAUACGUUUUACUCUACCAUCUGUACGUUUUACCAGGACCAGGCCACGGAUACGUUUUACUCUACCGUCUGUACGUUUUACCAGGACCUGGCCACGGAUACGUUUUAUUCUACCGUCUGUACGUUUUACCAGGACCAGGCCACAGAUACGUUUUAUUCUACCGUCUGUACGUUUUACCAGGACCAGGCCACGGAUACGUUUUACUCUACCGUCUGUACGUUUUACCAGGACCAGGCCACGGAUACGUUUUACUCUACCGUCUGUACGUUUUACCAGGACCAGGCCACGGAUACGUUUUACUCUACCGUCUGUACGUUUUACCACGACCAGGCCACGGAUACGUUUUAUUCUACCGUCUGUACGUUUUACCAGGACCAGGCCACGGAUACGUUUUACUGUACCGUCUGUACGUUUUACCACGGAUACGUUUUAUUCUACCGUCUGUACGUUUUACCAGGACCAGGCCACGGAUACGUUUUACUCUGCCGUCUGUACGUUUUACCAGGACCAGGCCACGGAUACGUUUUAUUCUACCGUCUGUACGUUUUACCACGACCAGGCCACGGAUACGUUUUACUCUGCCGUCUGUACGUUUUACCACGACCAGGCCACAGAUACGUUUUAAUCUACCGUCUGUACGUUUUACCAGGACCAGGCCACAGAUACGUUUUAUUCUACCGUCUGUACGUUUUACCACGACCAGGCCACAGAUACGUUUUACUCUACCGUCUGUACGUUUUACCAGGACCAGGCCACGGAUACGUUUUACUCUACCGUCUGUACGUUUUACCAGGACCAGGCCACAGAUACGUUUUAUUCUACCGUCUGUACGUUUUACCACGACCAGGCCACAGAUACGUUUUACUCUAUCGUUUGUACUUUUUACCAGGACCAGGCCACAGAUACGUUUUAUUCUACCGUCUGUACGUUUUACCAGGACCAGGCCACGGAUACGUUUUACUCUGCCGUCUGUACGUUUUACCACGACCAGGCCACAGAUACGUUUUAAUCUACCGUCUGUACGUUUUACCAGGACCAGGCCACAGAUACGUUUUAUUCUACCGUCUGUACGUUUUACCACGACCAGGCCACAGAUACGUUUUACUCUAUCGUUUGUACUUUUACCAGGACCAGGCCACAGAUACGUUUUAAUCUACCGUCUGUAUGUUUUACCAGGACCAGGCCACGGAUACGUUUCACUCUACCGUCUGUACGUUUUACCAGGACAAGGCCACAGAUACGUUUUAUUCUACCGUCUGUACGUUUUACCAGGACCAGGCCACAGAUACGUUUUACUCUACCGUCUGUACGUUUUACCAGGACCAGGCCACAGAUACGUUUUAAUCUACCGUCUGUACGUUUUACCAGGACCAGGCCACAGAUACGUUUUAUUCUACCGUCUGUACGUUUUACCACGACCAGGCCACAGAUACGUUUUACUCUAUCGUUUGUACUUUUUACCAGGACCAGGCCACAGAUACGUUUUAUUCUACCGUCUGUACGUUUUACCAGGACCAGGCCACGGAUACGUUUUACUCUACCGUCUGUACGUUUUACUAGGACCAGGCCACGGAUACGUUUUAUUCUACCGUCUGUACGUUUUACCAGGACCAGGCCACAGAUACGUUUUACUCUAUCGUUUGUACUUUUUACCAGGACCAGGCCACAGAUACGUUUUACUCUACCGUCUGUACGUUUUACUAGGACCAGGCCACGGAUACGUUUUAUUCUACCGUCUGUACGUUUUACUACGACCAGGCCACAGAUACGUUUUACUCUACCGUCUGUACGUUUUACCAGGACCAGGCCACGGAUACGUUUUAUUCUACCGUUUGUACCUUUUACCAGGACCAGGCCACAGAUACAUUUUAUUGUACCGGCUGUACCUUUUACCCGGACCAGGCCACGUAUACGUUUUAUUCUACCGUUUGUACCUUUUACCAGGACCAGGUCACGGAUACGUUUUAUUCUACCGUCUGUACGUUUUACCAGGACCAGGCCACAGAUACGUUUUACUCUACCGUCUGUACGUUUUACCAGGACCAGGCCACAGAUACGUUUUAUUCUACCGUUUGUACCUUUUACCAGGACCAGGUCACGGAUACGUUUUAUUCUACCGUCUGUACGUUUUACCAGGUCCAGGCCAUGGAUACAUUUUAUUUUUUCAUGAGUACUAUUCUCUUUUCCACACUUAAUAUGCAUGAUAAAUGAUUCAUAUUUUAUUACUCGUACAGACUGUAUGUACAGACAGAUCUCCCUGAAAAGAUGAACAAUAGAUG